AGCUCCAAUAGCGUAUAUUAAUGUUGUUGCAGUUAAAAAGCUCGUAGUUGGAUUUCUUUUAUGUAAGCAGGGUUUGGUCGUUGUUAUUGAUUUUAUCUUUAGCCGACUUCCUCUUAUAUAAAAUUAUUUGUAAUCUUCGUGUUAUAUAUAUUCUCAUUGGUAAAACUUUGUUGGAUUGUAUUUCACAUAUGGAGAUUGCAUCGUUUACUGUGAAAAAAUCAAAGCGUUCAAAGCAGGCUUUAUGCUCUCUGAAUGUCUCAGCAUGGAAUAAUAAGAUAGGUCUCAUCCUCAUUUUGUUGGUUUGCAAGGAAGAGAAAUGGUUAAUAGGGACAAUUGGGGGUAUUCGUAUUCGGUUGUCAGAGGUGAAAUUCUUGGAUUUACUGAAGACGAACCACUGCGA
rnacentral:rRNA from 1 species